rnacentral:rRNA from 1 species
AUUGAACGCUGGCGGCAGGCCUAACACAUGCAAGUCGAACGAGUGGCGGACGGGUGAGUAAUGUCAGGGAAACUGCCCGAUGGAGGGGGAUAACUACUGGAAACGGUAGCUAAUACCGCAUACCAUCGGAUGUGCCCAGAUGGGAUUAGCUAGUAGGUGGGGUAACGGCUCACCUAGGCGACGAUCCCUAGCUGGUCUGCGAGGAUGAUCAUGCACGCGGGAACUGAGACACGGUCCAGCCUCCUACGGGUGUCAGCCGUGGGGAAUAUUGCGCAAUGGGCGCAAGCCUGAUUCAGACAUGCCGCGUGGAUGAAGAAGGCCUUCGGGUUGUAAAGUACUUUCAGCGAGGAAGCGUUACUCGCAGAGUAAGCACCGGCUAACUCCGUGCCAGCAGCCGCGGUAAUAC